rnacentral:tRNA from 1 species
GGGUCCGUAGCUCAGUUGGGAGAGCGCUGCCUUCGCAUGGCAGAGGUCGCGUGUUCGAAUCACGUCGGAUCCA